AGUGGCGAACGGGUGAGUAACACGUGAGCAAUCUGCCCCUGACUCUGGGAUAAGCGCUGGAAACGGCGUCUAAUACCGGAUAGUCAGGGAUGAGCUCGCGGCCUAUCAGCUAGUUGGUGAGGUAAUGGUCACCAAGGCGCGACGGGUAGCCGGCCUGAGAGGGUGACCGGCCACACUGGGACUGAGACACGGCCCAGACUCCUACGGGAGGCAGCAGUGGGGAAUAUUGCACAAUGGGCGCAAGCCUGAUGCAGCAACGCCGCGUGAGGGACGACGGCCUUCGGGUUGUAAACCUCUUUUAGCAGGGAAGCGGUACCUGCAGAAAAAGCACCGGCUAACUACGUGCCAGCAGCCGCGGUAAUACGUAGGGUGCAAGCGUUAUCCGGAAUUAUUGGGCGUAAAGAGCUCGUAGGCGGUUUGUCGCGUCUGCUGUGAAACUGGGGGCUCAACCCCCGGCCUGCAGUGGGUACGGGCAGACUAGAGUGCGGUAGGGGAGAUUGGAAUUCCUGGUGUAGCGGUGGGAUGCGCAGAUAUC
rnacentral:rRNA from 1 species